AAAGUCGUAACAAGGUUUCCGUAGGUGAACCUGCGGAAGGAUCAUUACCGAAAAAAAAAUAUGGUUGGGUUUUGUUUGCUGUCCCCCAUCCCACAAACUUUGGGGGAAGUGGUUGGGCCGUGCGGGAAUGUGCAAACAAACACCCUGCCAUUGCUUUUCCACCUCAUCACCUGUGCACCUCUGUAGAUUGGAUAUCGUGUGCAAGCAUGCAUGACGGGUCUGGUCUAUGCCCUUUUUAUCACACCCCAUCGUUAUAACAGUAUGUUGUGAUUUUUUUUUGGAAAUACACUAUGACAACUUUCGACAACGGAUCUCUUGGCUCUC
rnacentral:misc_RNA from 1 species